AGCGAACGCUGGCGGCAGGCCUAACACAUGCAAGUCGAACGAUCCUUCGGGAUAGUGGCGGACGGGUGAGUAACACGUGGGAACGUGCCCUUUGGUUCGGAACAACUCAGGGAAACUUGAGCUAGUACCGAAUGUGCCCUUCGGGGGAAAGAUUUAUCGCCAUUGGAGCGGCCCGCGUCUGAUUAGCUAGUUGGUGAGGUAAAGGCUCACCAAGGCGACGAUCAGUAGCUGGUCUGAGAGGAUGAUCAGCCACAUUGGGACUGAGACACGGCCCAAACUCCUACGGGAGGCAGCAGUGGGGAAUCUUGCGCAAUGGGCGAAAGCCUGACGCAGCCAUGCCGCGUGAAUGAUGAAGGUCUUAGGAUUGUAAAAUUCUUUCACCGGGGACGAUAAUGACGGUACCCGGAGAAGAAGCCCCGGCUAACUUCGUGCCAGCCGCCGCAGUAACAC
rnacentral:rRNA from 1 species